AGUGAACGCUGGCGGUAGGCCUAACACAUGCAAGUCGAACGGCAGCACAGUAAGAGCUUGCUCUUACGGGUGGCGAGUGGCGGACGGGUGAGGAAUACAUCGGAAUCUACUUUUUCGUGGGGGAUAACGUAGGGAAACUUACGCUAAUACCGCAUACGACCUACGGGUGAAAGCAGGGGAGCUUCGGACCUUGCGCGAGUGAAUGAGCCGAUGUCGGAUUAGCUAGUUGGCGGGGUAAAGGCCCACCAAGGCGACGAUCCGUAGCUGGUCUGAGAGGACGAUCAGCCACACUGGAACUGAGACACGGUCCAGACUCCUACGGGAGGCAGCAGUGGGGAAUAUUGGACAAUGGGCGCAAGCCUGAUCCAGCCAUCCCGCGUGGGUGAAGAAGGCCUUCGGGUUGUAAAGCCCUUUUGUUGGGAAAGAAAAGCAGCAGGUUAAUACCCCGCUGUUCUGACGGUACCCAAAGAAUAAGCACCGGCUAACUUCGUG
rnacentral:rRNA from 1 species